rnacentral:rRNA from 1 species
UACGUAGGUGGCAAGCGUUGUCCGGAAUUAUUGGGCGUAAAGCGCGCGCAGGCGGCCUUUUAAGUCUGAUGUGAAAUCUUGCGGCUCAACCGCAAGCGGCCAUUGGAAACUGGGAGGCUUGAGUACAGAAGAGGAGAGUGGAAUUCCACGUGUAGCGGUGAAAUGCGUAGAUAUGUGGAGGAACACCAGUGGCGAAGGCGACUUACUGGACACAUAUUGACGCUGAGGUGCGAAAGCGUGGGGAGCAAACAGG